rnacentral:rRNA from 1 species
UACGAAGGGGGCUAGCGUUGCUCGGAAUCACUGGGCGUAAAGGGUGCGUAGGCGGGUCUUUAAGUCAGGGGUGAAAUCCUGGAGCUCAACUCCAGAACUGCCUUUGAUACUGAAGAUCUUGAGUUCGGGAGAGGUGAGUGGAACUGCGAGUGUAGAGGUGAAAUUCGUAGAUAUUCGCAAGAACACCAGUGGCGAAGGCGGACUACCUGGCCCCACUCUUGACG